UUCGCCCUUAGAGUUUGAUCCUGGCUCAGAACGAACGCUGGCGGCAGGCUUAACACAUGCAAGUCGAGCGCCCCGCAAGGGGAGCGGCAGACGGGUGAGUAACGCGUGGGAACGUACCUUUUGCUACGGAAUAACUCAGGGAAACUUGUGCUAAUACCGUAUGUGCCCUUCGGGGGAAAGAUUUAUCGGCAAAGGAUCGGCCCGCGUUGGAUUAGCUAGUUGGUGAGGUAAAGGCUCACCAAGGCGACGAUCCAUAGCUGGUCUGAGAGGAUGAUCAGCCACACUGGGACUGAGACACGGCCCAGACUCCUACGGGAGGCAGCAGAAGGG
rnacentral:rRNA from 1 species